UGGACUUUAAUCUAUAUUGCCCUACUAUCUCCCUUGUUUAUUCUAUAUUGUCCCACUAAUAACAAACGUUAUCUUUUUUAUUAUAUUUAAAUCGAAAACAUUGGAAAAGACAUAAAACCCCUUAAUGAAUCUAAGAAAUUACAAACUCAAAUCGGAUCAUCCACCCAAACCCAUACCCAAUACGGAUCCCAUCAAUUUAAUAAUAAUAAGUAAAUAAGAAAAAGAAAUCAAAAUCCCUAAUCUUUCCAGCUUCUUCUUCACGAGCCUCCUUCUUCAUUCUUUUUCUGUCUUUUUCAAUUUCUCGCACAACACAUUCUCUGUCUCUGAUGAACCCUCAUUCUAAAAACAGGGACACAGAUUUUAAAUCAGAAUGACGCAUGUACGUUGCUGAGUCUGGCACUCGUUGAAAAUUAAAACUCAAUCGGAGCCUGCGACUCGAUUCCGUCGCUUACAAGUUACAAACGCUUAACGCUUAAUAAAAAUAAGAAGAGAGAGGUCACCACCGAAGCAGUGAAGCCAUUGGUGGAUCUCGCAGCGGAGAAGGCGAUGGUGGUUCUGAGCAGUCAUACAACAAUCGAGGAGAACAAAAGCUCAGCCGGAAGCUAUGACGCGAUUCCGCCGCUUACAACGCUCUAGAAGUUGUGCACGCUUCAGCAAAACAAGAAGAGUUGAUUCACCACCAGAGGGGUGAAUCCGUUGGUAGACUUUUGGGGCAAAGUAGGGGACUGUAGUGGUGAAAUGGUAGAGAAGGCGAUUUGGAGGCUAUGUGGUAUGUUUGAUAUUUGGUUGUUUUCACUUCAGCUGCAUUUGCUCAGAAUGUGAUCUCAAUUUAAAAUAUUUUUCUUCUUUUGUAGGACAUUGUUUCAAAAAAGUAAUUUCCUUUUCACACAAAGGACAUUUUUACCAUACUUGGAUCGAGUUUGUUUAAGAUAGUGUUUGUGAGAUAUGGUUUAAAUCUUUUUGCUAAGCUGUUGGAUUAUCUUUGCCACUGUUUUUUUUGGUCAAAUCUUUGCCACUGGUUUAGAUAUCGUUUAUGUUCAUAAAUGUGGCGUCAUUCUUGUAAAAUGACAGUAACUGAAUCCGAGAUGCGAUCAUAUGGGUCACUUGCAACGAAGAUUUCAUAUUGGCUGGGAACAAAGCUGAUAAAGAAGUUGACAAAGUAUCUGAGGAUGCAGAGGAAGAGAAAUAAGGAUAGAACAUAAGGUUCAAAGGCUUGGAAUAUACUGAUUAUGUGUUAAUUAAGAAUUUAAAAGUGUAGUUUACGAAUAUUGCGUAGGAAAAUUUGUUAUGUUUGUUGCCAAACUAAUUUGGAUAUUUUGAAUGUGACUGAAUGUCAUAUAGAGUGUGAUUGGUUAUCAA